CUUGAGAAGUAUCUUCUACUGUGUAAGGUUUUGCUAACAUAAUGUUACUGUUACUUAACUUUUAGCUUUUAAAAAGUGCUAGUUCAGCUUAAUAGAAAUAUGAUGUUACAAAGAUUUGUAGAGCACCGCCCCAAGUAUUGCUUUUUGUUAACCAUAUAGUCUUGCUUUGUUGUAAGAAGUAUAAAAGAUCGCCUCACCCUUGAGGGGGGGCCAUUUUGCCUUUUGCUGGCUUUAUGGUCUUUGCUCGAGCAAAUAAACAGCUGUCUUUCUUUACCCGCGUUGUCUGUCAAUCAAAUUACAGCUAGACAACGGACCUUAGGGAGGUUUCUCCCACCACACCUGACACUUUAAGGUCCAGGAUGCAGACCCAUGUUCUUUCCUGCCCAGAGCAGGGGGGCUGGACCCAGUGAUCUCACAAGGUCCCUUAAACGUUUGUGAAUCUGUGUGCACGAAUCCCCACACUUGAAGAAGCAUUUGGAUUCAGAGUGCUGCUGCAAUUAACUCUGACAAAGUAUAGGAAGUAUGAGUUGGAGGUAAUGAUUAAACAACAUAAGAGAAGUUUGGAAGGUCUGUCUGAGUAGAGAGCUCUUCUAUGGAUACUUAGGGGUUCACUAGAGGUGUCUAUUCUGUUUUCCUGAUCACCGAACCAGAAAAACCAACAGCAUGAUGAGAAGUGUAGCGAACUAUGGAUGACAGCUGAACAUGGACUCCAACCAUACAGAUUACAAAGAAACGGUGUGGUAGAUCUUCAACCUGGUCAGAGAUGCACGGGUGUCUGGCCAACUAUCCAGGAUCCAGCAUCUUGGCCUCCAUGACUGGACCUCCUGUGCACAAAUGUGGAGUCUGCAGACAACUAAGGGACCUAUGCUGAAUCCCCCAUCUGGACCUUUUCCCCUACCCAGCAUUUUAUACCAACACCAAAUGCGUCUGCCAUUGGGCACGACCUUGACAGAGAAGCGUGGGUCAAGCUGAACAGACUGAGAUUUGGAUACAGACACUUCAAAAUAACACCGUACAAGAUGAACAUUUCAGACAGCUCCCUGUGUGAAUGUGGUGUCCAACAACCAGGACAGAACUUAAUGGAAAGCUAUAAUCUUUACAAAUGCUCAUAUGGGGUAAAUUAAAUUGGUACAUUGAGCAAUAAUACCAGACAGUAGCUCAUAGCUGGGCAGAGGGAACAAGGGGCAGGGGGUUGGAAACAGGGGCUUCACUGACUUGAGUCCCUGAGUGCCAGGCUGGCACUUGGGCAGACUAGACCACCACCCUAUGAUGGGAGGUGAGUGGGGUGCUGCAGUGCUCCAUGGGAUAUGAUCUACCAUGUGUCGGUGGAAUGUGAUCUACCAUGAGCCAGGAUUGGAUCUGGUAGAGAUAUUCAUUAUGGUGCUCUAACCUACAGCGCUCAAGACUGAUACCACAUUCAUCCAGGGUUGUCCUAGAGUGAGAUCCGCCAUUUUUAUAGUGCUCUAUGUGCCCUGGCCGUCUGUUCGGUUAUAGCUAUAGAAGGAUUUCUGUGUGCCUGCCACGCAACAGGGGUAACUUCUGUACCUGCCCUAAGGUGCCAUUCUGCCUCAUCUUCUCACGGAUGUAACUUGGUUGUAAAUACUCUCUGUGAUACUACAGUGACAAUAAAGGUGUCAUUUCCUAGCAACAACAUAACAUGGCCUUCCAUGUUAAUGAUAUAAAGAUUUUAAUUCCUAAGUGAAAUUAUCAUAUUGUUAUCUGACUGGAUUAAAAACAUAUAUUGGAAAUAA